rnacentral:rRNA from 1 species
GACGAACGCUGGCGGCGUGCCUAACACAUGCAAGUCGAACGGAAAGGCCCUGCUUUUGUGGGGUUCCCGAGUGCCGAUCGCGUGCGUAUCACGUGAGUAUCCUGCCCUUGUCUUUCGGAUAACUUCAGGAAACUGGGGCUAAUAUCGGAUAGGAUCUCCUGCUCCAUGGUGGGGGUUGGAUCGUUUCGGCGGUAGGGGAUGGACUCGCGGCUUAUCAGCUUGUUGGUGGGGUAGUUGCUUACCAAGGCUUUGACGGGUAGCCUGCCUGGGAGGGGGGACGGGGACAAGAGGACUAAGAGACGGCGCAGAGGCGAAUGGGAGGCAGCAGGGGGGAAUAUUGCACAAUGAGCGGGAGCGUGAUGCAAAAACGUUGGGUGCGGAAAGACGGCCUUUGGGUUGAGAACCGCUGUCGCCUGUGACGAAGCGUGAGUGACGGUAAUGAAUAAAGAAGCACCGGCUAACUACGUG